GGUCCGGUAGCGGAUGGUCUGCGCCUGCAUCCUAUCAUGGGGGCACCAUAAGUCCCGCGGGAGUCGCUCGUUCGACUCGAGCCCGGGCCG